AUUGAACGCUGGCGGCAGGCCUAACACAUGCAAGUCGAGCGGAUGAAGGGAGCUUGCUCCUGGAUUCAGCGGCGGACGGGUGAGUAAUGCCUAGGAAUCUGCCUGGUAGUGGGGGAUAACGUCCGGAAACGGGCGCUAAUACCGCAUACGUCCUGAGGGAGAAAGUGGGGGAUCUUCGGACCUCACGCUAUCAGAUGAGCCUAGGUCGGAUUAGCUAGUUGGUGGGGUAAAGGCCUACCAAGGCGACGAUCCGUAACUGGUCUGAGAGGAUGAUCAGUCACACUGGAACUGAGACACGGUCCAGACUCCUACGGGAGGCAGCAGAGGGGAAUAUUGGACAGUGGGCGUAAGCCUGAUCCAGCCAUGCCGCGUGUGUGAAGAAGGUCUUCGGAUUGUAAAGCACUUUAAGUUGGGAGGAAGGGCAGUAAGUUAAUACCUUGCUGUUUUGACGUUACCAACAGAAUAAGCACCGGCUAACUUCGUG
rnacentral:rRNA from 1 species